GAUGAACGCUGGCGGCGUGCCUAACACAUGCAAGUCGAGCGAAGCGCGUAAAUUAGAUUUCUUCGGAAUGACGAUUUUUGUGACUGAGCGGCGGACGGGUGAGUAACGCGUGGGUAACCUGCCUCAUACAGGGGGAUAACAGCUAGAAAUGACUGCUAAUACCGCAUAAGACCCCAGCUUCGCAUGAAGCGGUGGUAAAAACUCCGGUGGUAUGAGAUGGACCCGCGUCUGAUUAGCUAGUUGGUAAGGUAACGGCUUACCAAGGCGACGAUCAGUAGCCGACAUGGGAGAGAGACCGACGACAUUGGGACUGAGACACGGCCCCGACUCCUACGGGAGGCAGCAGUGGGGAAUAUUGCACAAGGGGGGAAACCCUGAUGCAGCGACGCCGCGUGAAGGAUGCAGUAUUUCGGUAUGUAAACUCCUAUCAGCAGGGAAGAAAGUGACGGUACCUGACUAAGAAGCCCCGGCUAACUACGUG
rnacentral:rRNA from 1 species